rnacentral:rRNA from 1 species
GCUCGCGUCUGAUUAGCUAGUUGGUGAGGUAAUAGCUUACCAAGGAGAUAAUCAGUAGCUGGUCUGAGAGGAUGAUCAGCCGCACUGAGACUGAGACAUGUCCCACACUCCUAUGGGAGACGGCAGUGGGGAAUUUUCCGCGGUGGGCGAAAGCCUGACGGGGCAAUGCCACGUGGAGGUGGAAGGCCUACAGGUCGUCAACUUCUUUUCUCGGAGAAGAAACAAUGACGGUAUCUGAGGAAUAAGCAUCAGCUAUCUCUGUG